AAUUGGACUCAACGCCGGGCAGCUCACCGGAUAAGACAGCUGGAUGAUAGCCGGGCUGAAGACUCUGCUUGACUAGCUGAGAGGAGGUGCAUGGCCGUCGUCAGUUCGUACUGUGAAGCAUCCUGUUAAGUCAGGCAACGAGCGAGACCCACGCCAACAGUUGCCAGCAUGUCCUCCGGGAUGAUGGGGACACUGUUGGGACCGCUCUGCUAAAGAGGAGGAAGGAAUGGGCAACGGUAGGUCAGCAUGCCCCGAAUUAUCCGGGCUACACGCGGGCUACAAUGGUCAGGACAAUGGGUAUCGACACCGAGAGGUGGAGGCAAUCUCCUAAACCUGUCCUUAGUUCGGAUUGUGGGCUGCAACUCGCCCACAUGAAGCUGGAAUCCGUAGUAAUCGUGUCUCAAAAUGGCACGGUGAAUAUGUCCCUGCUCCUU
rnacentral:rRNA from 1 species